rnacentral:lncRNA from 1 species
AUGAGGAAGGUAAACCUAGUAACUAAAGAAACUAUGAAGAAGUCUUGGUCACAAAAUCUCCAUGGUAGAAGAGUAUAUCCAUUGAAAGAGGCCUUAAUUCUCAUGUAUCGUAAGGUUGACUCAAUGAUUCAUGAGCUACUCUUAUCCAGAGGAAAAAAAAAUACAACGUGGAUACCUUUAAAUCCAUUUCUUAAGAACUGUGAAAUUGUGUUCAGAAUAUGGGGCACCAAGACCUGAAAGGUGAAAAACUCACUAAAUACUUUUACUUGGAAUUUUACAUAUGGGAACGACAGCCAUAAUGCAAUCCAGAUCUUCCUGGACUUACUAUGGAGUUACAUCAUGAUAAACCCAUCAUAAAGUGAAAAUACAGUAAGUCAAAAAUGCAUUUAAUACACCUAAACCUACUGAAUGUCAUGGCUUAGCCAAACCCACCUUAAAUGUGCUCAGAACACUUGCAGUAGCCUACAGAGUUGGACAAAAUCAUCUAGCAUAAGUUUUCAGAAAGUGUAAAAAGUGUUAAAUAUCCUUUUUUUUAAAAAAAUAUUUUAUUUAUUUAAUGAGAGAGAGGAAGAGAGGGUGGGGCAGGAGAAAGGGAGAGAAGGAUAAUCUCAAGCGGACUCUGAGCUGAGCUUGGAUCCCAACUUGGGGCUAGGAUCUCAUGACUGAGCUGAAACCAGGAGUUGGAUGCUUAAUUGACUGAGCCGCACAAGUGCCUCAAAAGUGCCAAGUAUCUCAUGUGAUUUCUUGAAUACUGUAUUGAAAGUGAAAACAAAAUAGGUAUAUGGGUACAGAAUAGUUUUAAGUAUGUUAGUUGUUUGCCUUUGUGAUUGUGUGGCCACCAUUAUGCAAUUUAACAAGAAUGUCAUACUGCAUCUCACGAGUGCAGGAAAAGAUGAAAAUUCCAAGUAUGAUUUCCACUGAAUGCGUACUGCCUUCACACCAUCAUAGACUCAAAAAAUCAUUAAGUUGGGAGCUGUCUGUAAUUGCCAUGCUAGUAAUAGUUUAUUCAUCUGCCCUGAGAAAUUAUUGAAUACUUGGUAUUUCAGCCUUAAUAUAUUAUAAUUAAUUGGUUAGUAACUACAUUCCAUCUUGCUUACUAAGGGAUAUCAGGAAUUUGCCCACCAGAGCCCUUGUCUGUUUCUUAUGGGCUUGUGUAAAAUCUUUAUGUUUACAUGCAAAAAAAAAAAAAAAAAAAAAAAAACACACACACAGAAAAAAAAAACAAAAAACAAAAACAAAACCAGAAAAACAUAACCCCAGGAUGGUAGAUUGCAUAGUAGUGGUCUGAUUUCUUUGAUUUUAUAGUUUAUUCUAUGGUAUUAUGUCUUACAAAAACAUCUUACAUCUUGCUGAUUUACUUUAGCAAUGCAGAAAAUAUUGACACACUUCAUAUUUCACUGAAAGGGCAAUUUGAUUUUAAACCAUGCAGGCCUUGGUGGAAAGAUGCUGUGAGAGCAGGUGGUGCAAGGAAUCUUAUCAUCAAUAUGGUGAUUUUGUUUGAACUAUUAUUUAACUUGAACUGAUGUCUCGUUUUAACUUUAGAAUAUGAUGACUAUUUCAUCAAAUUAAUGAUUUUUCUGUGACUGGAAAUGCACAGGAAAAAUCCAAAGUGCUCGAUAACUUCUGCAGAAACCACUAAUGAUGCAGGCCACACCAUUAUGGCAAUUCCCUGACUAUAUUCUGUGGCCUUGAGGACUACUAUAUGUUUGUAUCUUUUGAUUGUUCCUCUAAUCUUACAUAGCAUUUAAGUUUAUUGCAGGAAAGCUAUGUCCAAUAAUAAGUGAAAUUUUAAUUCCAAAGUUUCAAAAUGGAAACUAAAUAUAUAAGGUAAGUUCAUCGGUGUAAAAAAAAAGAGAGAUACCGUAUUCCAUUAUUCAGAUGAUUAUGCUUAUUAGUGCAAAAGUCACUUGAUGUGUAUGAUAAGAAGGUUUCUAACAGAUGUCUCUUUGAUGUAAGAUAUAAAACGGCACAUACCUCAUUAAACAACACAUCAAAAGCAUAAAAAUGCAACCAUUAAUCUAUAUUUCAUAAUUUCCCCAUAAUAACUCUAAGCAAAACUCAUUGAACACAAAUGAAAGAGCUGUAGAAGAAGGUGAUAUUAAAAUUCACAUAUGGUUCAGUCCUGUUCCUUUGAAUUCUAUCAGGCAUGUGUUGGUCCAAAUUGAAUAUAAAGAAUGAAAAACAGCUUAAUAGAUGAGCAAUAACUUAGGAACUUUUCCAAUAGGAAAGAUGCCUACUUUCAUGAGUUCAUCAAAAAUGUAUAUGUUAUCAAAGAAUGUUAGACUUGGUUGAGGUACUAAGUACCAUCAAACUCAAUUCUUAUGCUUUUAGAUGAGUCAAAUGAGCCACAUAGCAAUUACCUAACUUGCUAUAACUCAUCCAAUUAAUCAUAUUAGAAUCCUGAUUAGAAUUGAAGUUUUUGGACAAAUGUUUCAGAGCUCUUUGCAGUGCUCCGCCAUGUUCUUAGAAGUAUACUUUCUAUCUUGGAGAAUCUGCAUUUCUUAGGGUUGGAGAACGCCUACCUUAAAGAUAUGUGUUAUUUGACAGCAUAAACAGAGGCCCAAAGCAGGUACUAUAUGACAUACAGAAAGGGGUAUCAUCACUGUGGAAAGCCUCUUUGUUCACUUAAUGCCGAUCUAGCUUUAUUACUCUUUGGUUACGGCAGAUAGAACUUUCGUACACACGUCUAACACUGGUGUUUCUUAUUUCCGUCACUAUUAUCCUUGUCCUCACCAGAAACCUGGUGGGAAACCUUCUAUCUAUGCACUCUAAGUCAAUUAUAUGUCUAAUGAUAUACAUAAUAAUAUAAAAAUUAUAUAUAUAUAUAUAUAUAUAUAUAUAUAUAUAUAUGGCUCUCUUCAACGUUUACCUGACUCCAAGGCCUAUUUUCUGAAACCCUGAGGCCAAUUUGUUUCCCUUCCAUGGCACUCCACAGUGACCUUUCCUAAAUCAGUCAUCCAGCAAUUAUCACACCAAUCUCAGCUUGAUUUACUUGCCUCAUCCAGUGUAUGUGCCUUGAGCCUGGGAAUUGUAUCCAAUUCCUUGUUGUAUUUCCAACAUCUAGAAUUGUGUCUGGCUUAUUGUAUACACACACACACACACACACUCACACACACAUGCAUCACACAAAAAUACACACACCUUUUUGACCAGAUGAAAUAAUUAACCCAUAUUUUGAGAAAAAAAAAAAAAAAUCCCUGAUUACUUAUUUUCAGUUUCCAAUUUUCUCUGAAGUGUGUCUGUCAUUUUCUGGAGAGGAUAACAAGUUCCAAGAUUUUAAUGGGGUUUAGGCAAUUUAUUGUGUUAUAGUUGAAUGGAUUGCUUUUAUGUACUGGUGAGAUGAGUUCAUUCCCUAGAAAAUCCUACUUGAUCAUGAAUAAUUGUCCUAUCUUUUUCUGUAAAAUACAAUGUAGUUUUUUGGUCUCCCCUAUCCUGCUAGAUCAUUAAUGGCUAGUUGGAAUUUAUUUGUGGCAAUCUUUAGUGAGGAAAUAACCAAUGAGCAGUAGUUUGGUUUGCUAAAAGAGUGUCCUUGUGAAUAUCUUUAUUUUAUUAAUAAUGUCCAGGCUUUGAUUAUCUAUAAAUAUAGUUGCUAUCGUGACAGUUAAAUACUCAUAUAAUACCAACAUAUAAUAGAGUACAAGGAAGAAUCAUAUCAACAAAAUAAAUUAUCUACCCUUUACCUAUACCUUCAGGGUCUUGAAAUCAUGCAACAUAUAUAAAUUGUAAUAUAACCUUACAUGAAAUAGUAAAUAAAAUAAUUGUUAAGAAGUUUAUCAAAAACUCGUAUUCAAAUUCUUAUAAAGAACUGUUUUAUUGCAAACACAUUGAUAUUGAUUAUAUUAUGUAGUAUCUUUGUUAUAUAGUAAGUAUGCCCACAGAUUCCUCAAUUUAUUUCUGUAAGAGGAGGGAAUAACUUGCAUAAUGCAAAUUUAUUUACUUUUCUCCUCCCCAGCUCUAUAACCUGAAUUGAAGCCAUUGCCAGCCUUCUGCAUUUGGAUGAAUAGAAACUUUUACUCAAUGUUUAAUUGCAGAUAUUUAGACUUCAAACUAUUCAUUACAAUUUUGGAUACAUUUUAAUAUAGCUAUUUAUCAUAAAGUAAGUGUGUUCUCUGGAAAAUAAACAUAGUUAGAACAGAUAAAUCAUUAACAAUUUUAUUUACAUUUUGAGUAGAUUCCUCCUCUGUUGCAUUUUGUUCAUUGCUCCAUACUACACAGAAAUAAAGUUAUUAAAAAUUCAAA